rnacentral:rRNA from 1 species
GCGGCAAGGACGCGUGCCUAUACAUGCAGUCGAGCGCUGACUGUUGGAUCUUGUACGCACUGAAUGAGCAUCGAACGCGUUAGAAAGGCGUGCGGAAUCUGCCUUUGAGCGGGGGACGACCUUUGGAAACGAAUGCUAUUACCACACAAAAACUUUUACCACAAAUUUUAAGUAUGAAAGAGGCAUCUUGCAUCACUCAAAGAUGAUCCCUGCGCUUGUAUUAGCUAGACUGGUGAGGUAAAGGCUCACCUGGGGAAGGAUACGUACCCGACCUGAGAGGGCGAUCGCCACAUUGGGACUGAUACACGGCCCAGACUCCUGCGGGAGGCACCAGUAUGGAAUCUUCGGCAAUGGACGAAAGUCUGACCGAGCAACGCCGCGUUGAGUGAAGAAGGUUUUCGGAGCGUAAAACUCUGUUGGUAGAGAAGAACGUUGGUGAGAGUGGAAAGCUCAUCAAGUGACGGUAACUACCCAGAAAGGGACGGCUAACUACGUGCCAGCAGCCGCGGUAAUACGUAGGUCCCGAGCGUUGUCCGGAUUUAUUGGGCGUAAAGCGAGCGCAUGUGGUUUAUUAAAUCUGGUGUAAAAUGCAGUGGCUCAUCCAUUGUAUGCAUUGUAAACUGAUAAACUUGAGUGCAAGAUAGGAGAGUGGAAUUCCAUGUAUAACGGUGAAAUGCCUAGAUAUAUGGAGGAACGCCUAUAGCUAAAGCAGCUCUCUGGCCUGUAACUGACACGGAGGCUCGAAAGCGGGGGGAGCAGAUAGGAUUAGAUACCCUGGUAGUCCACGACAUACACGAU